rnacentral:rRNA from 1 species
UGGGGAAUUUUGGACAAUGGGCGAAAGCCUGAUCCAGCAAUGCGGCGUGUGUGAAGAAGGCCUUCGGGUUGUAAAGCACUUUUGUCCGGAAAGAAAUCCUUGGCUCUAAUACAGUCGGGGGAUGACGGUACCGGAAGAAUAAGCACCGGCUAACUACGUGCCAGCAGCCGCGGUAAUACGUAGGGUGCAAGCGUUAAUCGGAAUUACUGGGCGUAAAGCGUGCGCAGGCGGUUUGCUAAGACCGAUGUGAAAUCCCCGGGCUCAACCUGGGAACUGCAUUGGUGACUGGCAGGCUAGAGUAUGGCAGAGGGGGGUAGAAUUCCACGUGUAGCAGUGAAAUGCGUAGAGAUGUGGAGGAAUACCGAUGGCGAAGGCAGCCCCCUGGGCCAAUACUGACGCUCAUGCACGAAAGCGUGGGGAGCAAACAGGAUUAGAUACCCUGGUAGUCCACGCCCUAAACGAUGUCAACUAGUUGUUGGGGAUUCAUUUCCCUAGUAACGUAGCUAACGCGUGAAGUUGACCGCCUGGGGAGUACGGUCGCAAGAUUAAAACUUAAAUGAAUUGACGGGGUCAUAGCUGUUUCCU